CCUACGGGUGGCUGCAGUGGGGAAUAUUGGACAAUGGGCGAAAGCCUGAUCCAGCCAUGCCGCGUGUGUGAAGAAGGCCUUCGGGUUGUAAAGCACUUUCAGUGGGGAAGAAAGCCUUGGGGCUAAUACCCUCGAGGAAGGACAUCACCCACAGAAGAAGCACCGGCUAACUCCGUGCCAGCAGCCGCGGUAAUACGGAGGGUGCGAGCGUUAAUCGGAAUUACUGGGCGUAAAGCGCGCGUAGGCGGUCUGAUAAGCCGGUUGUGAAAGCCCCUGGCUCAACCUGGGAACGGCAUCCGGAACUGUCAGGCUAGAGUGCAGGAGAGGAAGGUAGAAUUCCCGGUGUAGCGGUGAAAUGCGUAGAGAUCGGGAGGAAUACCAGUGGCGAAGGCGGCCUUCUGGACUGACACUGACGCUGAGGUGCGAAAGCGUGGGUAGCAAACAGGAUUAGAUACCCUAGUAGUC
rnacentral:rRNA from 1 species